GAUCAAGCUGCUAAGGGCGUGUGGUGGAUGCCUUGGCGUCAGAAGGCGAUGAAGGACGUGGGAACCUGCGAUAAGCCCGAAGGAGCUGGUACCAAGCUUUGAUCUCGGGAUUUCCGAAUGGGGCAACCCGGCCCGUCGAGAGGCGGGUCAUCGGCAACUGAAUGCAUAGGUUGUCGAAGCGAACGCGGGGAACUGAAACAUCUCAGUACCCGCAGGAACAGAAAGAAACCUCGAUUCCGUCAGUAGCGGCGAGCGAAAUCGGAAUAGCCCAAACCGGGCUUCGGCCCGGGGUUGCGGGCACCAAUGUCUCUUCCUAGCCAAUAUUGAAUCGUCUGGAAAGGCGAACCAUAGAAGGUGAAAGUCCUGUAUGUUGCGGCGAAAGAAGGGUAGGUGUUCCAGAGUAGCGUCGGUCUCGUGAAACCCGGCGUGAAACUGGGGGGACCACCCCCCAAGGCUAAAUACUCUCUGACGACCGAUAGCGAACCAGUAAGGUGACUGAAUGGUGAAAAGCACCCCGUUUAGGGGAGUUAAAAGUACCUGAAACCACACGCCUACAACCUGUCGAAGCCCCUUCGGGGGUGACGGCGUGCCUUUUGCAUAAUGAGCCGGCGAGUUAGCUUCUGCGGCAAGGUUAAGGCGCAUCCCGCCGUAGCCGAAGCGAAAGCGAGUCUGAAUAGGGCGAUUUCAGUCGCAGGGGUUAGACGCGAAACCGGGUGAUCUACCCAUGGCCAGGUUGAAGGGAGGGUAAAACCUCCUGGAGGACCGAACCCACUAACGUUGAAAAGUUAGGGGAUGAGCUGUGGGGAGGAGUCAAAGUCUUAUCAAACCCGGAGAUAUCUCGUUCUCCUCGAAAUAGCUUUAGGGCUAGCCUCACGAAACAGCAUAUGGGGGUAGAGCUACUGGAUGGGGCUGGGGGGCUACCCGCCUACCCACCUCAACCAAACUCCGAAUACCAUAUGCCUCUGUCGUGGGAGUCAGUCUGUGGGUGAUAAUAUCCAUGGGCGAAAGGGGAACAACCCAGACCGCCAGCUAAGGUCCCUAAUCAAGUCUUAGUUCUUAAGGAAGUUAAGUUGCAGUGACAGCCAGGAUGUUGGCUUAGAAGCAGCCACCAUUUAAAGAGUGCGUAAUAGCUCACUGGUCGAGGAACUUAGCGCCGAUAAUGAUCGGGAAUAAGGCUUGAACCGAAGCUGCGGAUUCGUGCUUGCACGAGUGGUAGAGGAGCGUUGCUAUCGGCGUUGAAGCGGGGCGGUAACGUCCCGUGGAGCGGUAGCAAGCGAUUAUGCCGGCUUGAGUAACGAUAAACCAGGUGAAAAUCCUGGUCGCCGAAAGCCGAAGGUUUCCUGGGGAAGGUAAAUCCGCCCAGGGUUAGUCGGAUCCUAAGGCGAGGCCGAAAGGCGUAGUCGAUGGAUAGCAGGUUAAUAUUCCUGCACUCGGCUGUGCGGUUGAAGCAACGUGACGGAUCUCCAAGGUCAGUCGGCCGACUAGUUGUGGCCGUCCCGAAAGGGCGAGGGCAUCUGAUCCCGAAGCUGGUGGAGGAGAUUCCAAGAAAAGCCGUUGUGGACAAUCAGUCGAUCCGUACCAAAACUGACACAGGUAGGCGUGGCGAAAAGCCUCAGGCGCUCGAGAGAACGGUGGUUAAGGAACUAGGCAAAUUGACCCCGUACGUUCGCAAUAAGGGGGCCCUCCCUGCUUUCGGGUAGGAGGGCGCAGAGAAUAGGCUCUGGGGACUGUUUAUCAAAAACACAGGACUGUGCGAACUCGCAAGAGGAUGUAUACAGUCUGACGCCUGCCCAAUGCCUGAAUGUUAAGGAAGUCGGUUAUUGAAUUUAUUCGAGAAGCUGACGACUGAAGCACAGGUCAAUGGCGGCCGUAACUAUGACGGUCCUAAGGUAGCGAAGUUCCUUGUCGGGUAAGUUCCGACGCGCAUGAAUGGCGUAACCACUGGAGCACUGUCUCAACCACCGACUCGGUGAAAUAGAAGUAGCGGUGAAGAUACCGCUUACCCGCAGCAAGACGGAAAGACCCCGUGGACCUUUACUGCAGGCUGAUAUUGGCCACGAUUUCAUCAUGCGUAGGAUAGGUGGGAGGCGUUGAGCCCAGGGUUCCGGCCCUGGAGGAGCCAUCCUUGAAAUACCACCCUUGGUGCAAUUGUGACCUAACCACGUUCCUUGAAUCAGGGCGUGGGACCGUGUUAGCUGGGCAGUUUGACUGGGGCGGUCUCCUCCCAAAGCGUAACGGAGGAGCACAAAGGUUCGUUCAGCACGGAUGGAAACCGUGUGACGAGUGUAAGGGCACAAGCGAGCUUUACUGCGAGACGUACCUGUCGAGCAGUUACGAAAGUAGGUCCUAGUGAUCCGGCAGUACCGUGUGGAAGGGCUGUCGCUCAUCGGAUAAAAGGUACCCCGGGGAUAACAGGCUUAUCGCUCCCGAGCGUCCAUAGCGGCGGAGCGGUUUGGCACCUCGAUGUCGGCUCAUCACAUCCUGGGGCUGAAGGCGGUCCCAAGGGUUCGGCUGUUCGCCGAUUAAAGUGGUACGCGAGCUGGGUUCAGACCGGCGUGAGCCAGGUCGGUCCCUAUCUGCUGUGGGCGUAGCAACAUUGAUGGGAGUCGACUUUAGUACGAGAGGAUUUGGUCGGACGUACCCCUGGUGCGCCAGUUGGACUGCUAAGUCCACCGCUGGGUAGCUAAGUACGGCAGGGAUAACCGCUGAAAGCAUCUAAGCGGGAAGCCCCCCCAAAGAUGAGUGUUGCGUGUCUCCCGACUUGUCGGGAGACGAGAGACCCCAAGUAGACCACUUGGUUGAUAGGCCGCAGGUGUAAGGGUCGAAAUGCCCUAAGCUGAGCGGUACUAACGGUCGAUCGCUUGAUCAC
rnacentral:rRNA from 1 species